rnacentral:rRNA from 1 species
UGGCUUAGAAGCAGCCACCCUUUAAAGAAAGCGUAAUAGCUCACUGGUCGAGUCGUCUCGCGCGGAAGAUGUAACGGGGCUAAGCACAUAACCGAAGCUGUGGAUGCAUAUUUAUAUGCAUGGUAGGAGAGCGUUCUGUAGGCCUGCGAAGGUGUUCCGUGAGGAAUGCUGGAGGUAUCAGAAGUGCGAAUGCUGACAUGAGUAGCGAUAAAGUGUGUGAAAGGCACACUCGCCGAAAGCCCAAGGUUUCCUGUGCAACGUUAAUCGGCGCAGGGUGAGUCGGCCCCUAAGGUGAGGCAGAAAUGCGUAACCGAUGGGAAACAGAUUAAUAUUUCUGUACUUCAAUUUAAUGCGAUGUGGGGACGGAGAAGGUUAGGUCAGCCUAGUGACGGAUAUCUAGGUUUAAGCGUGUAGGUAGAUUCUUUAGGCAAAUCCGGAGAGUCAAUACCAAGGCGUGAUGACGAGUGAACUUUUGUUCAUGAAGUGAUUGAUACCAUGCUUCCAAGAAAAGCCACUAAGCUUCAGUUAAAUUGAAACCGUACCGCAAACCAACACAGGUGGGCAGGAUGAGAAUUCUAAGGCGCUUGAGAGAACUCUGGAGAAGGAACUCGGCAAAUUAGUACCGUAACUUCGGGAUAAGGUACGCCCCAGUAGGUUGAAGCAUUUUACAUGUGGAGGCCGACGGGGUUGCAGUGAAUAGGUGGCUGCGACUGUUUAAUAAAAACAUAGCACUGUGCAAACACGAAAGUGGACGUAUACGGUGUGACGCCUGCCCGGUGCCGGAAGGUUAAAUGAUGGGGUGCAAGCUCUUGAUUGAAGCCCCGGUAAACGGCGGCCGUAACUAUAACGGUCCUAAGGUAGCGAAAUUCCUUGUCGGGUAAGUUCCGACCUGCACGAAUGGCGUAACGAUGGCCACACUGUCUCCUCUAGAGACUCAGCGAAGUUGAAAUGGUUGUGAAGAUGCAAUCUACCCGCGGUUAGACGGAAAGACCCCGUGAACCUUUACUAUAGCUUUACAUUGGACUUUGACAAGAUCUGUGUAGGAUAGGUGGGAGACUUUGAAGCGCAGUCGCCAGAUUGCGUGGAGUCACCCUUGAAAUACCACCCUGAUGUUGUUGAAGUUCUAACCCAGAUCCCUUAUCGGGAUCGGGGACCGUGUAUGGUGGGUAGUUUGACUGGGGCGGUCUCCUCCCAAAGAGUAACGGAGGAG